rnacentral:rRNA from 1 species
ACUUGCUCAUGUAGAUAUCGGCAGCUGUCAGGUUUACCCUGCUGCCAUGCCAUUAGUGCUAUCUAUAAAACAGGACAGAAAAUUGAUGAUUAUAUUGCUCCUUGUUACUCCAUAGAUGUGUACAACAAGAUAUAUGAUCAUUGCUUACAACCUUUGGAGGGAGAGGAGAGUUGGCCUAUUUCAACAAAUCCAAAGCCACAACCACCUGGUUACAUAAGCUUGCCUGGAAGGCCUAAAACAAAAAGGAGGAGAGAGGAAGGAGAAAAACCUAAGGGUACUAAGAUGAGCAAAGUAGGUGGCAAGAUCACUUGCAGUUCUUGCAAAAGGCAAGGCCAUAAUAGAUCAAGCUGUAAGAACAAUGAUGCAUCUAAACAUCAUGGAAAUGCACAUUUGGUCAGAGAAGCUGCAAAAUAA